AAAAGACUAAUAAGGACUAAAAUGUAAUACGCUAAAAGGAACAGGGAUCGAGCGGGAAGAUAUCCCAAAAUUCCCUAUGCACACUGUUUCUCUGACAAAUCGGGGAUUAAAUUGCACAAAGAAUAAAAUAAAAAGAGGAAAUAAAAAAUAACAAUCAAGCAAUGGGAUGAAAUUAAAUAAUAGUGAAAAUGCGGAAGGAUUUAAACAGCAAUUAGCCAAUUUUUCUAGAAAACACGCGGAUCCUGUGGGCGGGUCAGGUUGGGUGUGCGUCAAAAGCCAAAACGACAUCGUUUUGGCAUAUGGGAGUCAAGCCCAAAACGGCGUCGUUUUAUAUCUCUAUAAAUGCCAAAAAAAACUCAAAAAAAAUCAUUUUAACCCUCUUUCAAAAAAAAACUUAGUCUUUUUUUAUUUUUUUUCUCUCUAGCCCCUUUGGCCUGCCUUUGCUCCUGUCAUCGGCCACCGUGGUGACCACCGGUCGCCGGCGAAGGCACCGUCAUCCACGGUGGCCGAAAAGUCCAAAAGUCUCACCUUUUGUUCCUUUUUUCGAGUAGAACCCCGAUUUAGGGUUAAAAAUGGUCGAAAAAAGCCCUCAAAGAUAAAAAAGAAACAAAGAACCCUUAGUUUCUGCUCACUUCCGUCGUAAACAUUUGAAGAACCCCUAAGGGUCCACGGUCUUCCAGAACGGAGGGAGAAGCAACGACGAUAGAUGUAUAAAAUUUUUUUUAUGUUAUUUUAUGUAUUUCAAAAAUAAAAGAUGAAAAUGAAAAAAAAACACAUUUUUUUUUAUAUUCAAUCUCUUUUUUUGUAUAUUUUCUUCUAUCUUUCAAAAAAAAGAACCCCCUUACAAUUAGUUCAAUGGCUUUUAUAGCUGAUUUACAAUCUUAAUUUUUCUACUAUUUCAACUGCUUAUAUUUAGUUUAUGUCUUUUCUUCCUUUUUCUUUGCAGGCAAUGGUGGCAAAGCAAUUGGUGGAGUAGGUGGCUGCAGAGGCUAGGUUUUUUUUUUUUUUUUUAAAAGUUUAUGUUUUUAGGCUAUGUGAACUUUAAGGUUUUCUGUUAUUUAGGUUUAUAAAUUGGGCCUGCUGCUUUCUUUGUAAAUGAACUUUUUUAUAUAUUUUUUGGUUUAAUCUUUUUGUUUUAUUUAUUUGAAAUUUGUGCCCGGGUGAAAUUGACCCAUUACAGAUGAGAUAAAAAAUCAAGGACUAAUAUAUUAAAUUUCAGAAAGCAGCAGAAUGUAAUCUUUGGAUCAUGCCAAUCAGAGGAAUGAGUAGUUAAAGCUUAGAAACGACUUUCAUAUUUGCAAUUUUAUGGGUCAUGCUUCUUGUAGUUGAUAAAAAAAAAUUAUUGUCCUUUGAUGUUUUGAGUGGAAAAGGGUUAUGAUGGGCAAAAAAUCCCAUCCGACCAAGCAAGAGUCAAGGGAGUAGGCCUAAGACACGGGUCAGAACAGCAACAUGCUACAAGAAUGUUAUUAAAAAGAUGAUCAUAUCUGUUGAAUAUUGGCAAUAUCCCACAUUAGGAAAAGAUAGAAAGGGAGGGGGUUUGGUUUGUUAUAUAUAGAACCCCUCCCCCUUUGGUUUUAUAAUCCCAAAAAUCUUCUCCUUUGUAAUAUUUCUAGAAGAAAUAUUAAUUUGGUAGUGUCCGAGGACGUAAGCUAAAUUGGCCGAACCUCGUUAAAUCUCUGGUAUUUUAUUUCUUAUUUGUUUGCUUAUAUUUAAUAGCUUUAUGUUGGUUAUAUUUAUUUAGUUAUUAUUGCUAUAAAUAUCUAAGUGAGUUCUGUCUAGUUGUUGGGUUUUAAGCGGGACCAUUUGUGACCCCUCCAAUUUAACUGGGAAUUUUCUUAGUAUAAUUGUUGGCAUAAUAAUUAUCUAAAUAUUUCUGAUAAUAUUGUUAUUAAUAUUAUCGUCGCUUCCGCAACAAUUGGUAUCCGAGCCAAGGUUUUGUAGUAUGCUCUGUGUUUGCAGCUUAGUCUGAUCUUACACAUCAGAAACAUUUCCUAAAGCUUGUGAGUAUUCUGCAUUUGGUGGCUAUUAAGUAGAAGCUAUGGCAAAAAUGACAGAAGAAAAACCAUCCAUAUCAACAACUUCCACUUCGUACAUUUUGCCGAGGAUUGGAACUGCAAAUACGAGAUUUGUAGUGGAAAUUUUUGAUGGAACAGGUCAUUUUGGCAUGUGGCAAAGUGAGCUUCUAGAUGCCCUCUUUCAACAGGGUCUAGAUAUUGCCAUUGAGGAAGAAAAACCAGAAGGGGUUGAUGAUAAAGAAUGGAAGACCAUCAACCGAUUGGCAUGUGGUACAAUUCGAUCAUGUCUUUCUAGAGAGCAGAAGUAUACAUUCAGUAAAGAGACUUCUGCAAGUAAAUUGUGGAAAGCAUUGGAGGAGAAAUUCUUGAAGAAGAACAGUCAAAAUAAGUUGCAUAUGAAGAAAAGACUGUUUCGUUUCAAUUAUGUUCCUGGUACCACGAUGAACGAGCACAUUACCAAUUUUAAUCAGCUGGUGGCUGAUUUGUUGAAUUUGGAUGUGACUUUUGAAGACGAAGACUUGGCGUUAAUGUUGUUGGGAUCGCUUCCUGAGGAGUUUGAGUACCUUGAAACUACUCUACUUCAUGGAAAAUCGGAAGUAACUUUCAAUGAAGUAACUGCUGCAUUGUAUAGCUAUGAACUACGCCGAAAGGAUAAGUUGAAAGGUUCAGGUGAAGCAGCAGUGGAAGCAUUGGUAACAAGAGGUCGUCAGCAAAGUCAGUCUAAGGGGAAGAGAAGAAAGUCCAAAGGUCGAGCUGUUGCCAAAGAUGAAUGUUCCUUUUGCAAAGAAAAAGGACAUUGGAAGAAAGAUUGUCCAAAAUUGAAAAAAAAAGGGAAGACUCCGCAAGAUGCAAAUGUUGCAGAAUGCAAUAGUGAAGCAGAGUCAAACUUUUCUCUUAGUAUGACAUCUUCAACAUCACAUGCAGAUGAGUGGAUCAUGGAUUCUGGUUGUUCCUAUCAUAUGUGUCCCAUUUGGGAAUGGUUCUUUGAAUUUCAAAAACUAGAUGGAGGGGUUGUUUACAUGGGUAAUGAUAACACAUGUAAAAUAGCCGGGAUAGGUUCAAUUAAACUGAGGAGUCAUGAUGGAUCUACUAGAAUUUUGCGGGAUGUACGAUAUGUCCCAAAGUUGAAGAAGAAUCUCAUCUCUUUGGGGUCGUUGGAAUCUAAAGGCCUAGUUGUGACAAUACGAGAUGUAGUUCUUAAAGCAACUUCAGGAGCAUUGGUGAUGUUGAAAGGCAUAAGAAAGAACAAUCUGUAUUACUACCAAGGUAGUACAGUGGUCGGGACAACAGCAGCAGCAAUUUCGAGUACCAAGAAGGACGCUGAGGCAACACAGUUGUGGCAUAUGCGUUUGGGCCAUGCUGGUGAAAAAUCCUUGCAAACUCUAGCCAAGCAAGGAUUAUUGAAAGGUACAAAGACUUGCAAACUUGAAUUUUGCGAGCAUUGUGUUCUGGGAAAACAACGAAGGGUGAAAUUUGGCACUGGAAUUCACAAUACUAAAGGUAUUCUGGAUUAUGUGCAUUCUGAUGUAUGGGGACCGUCCAAGACUCCAUCACUUGGAGGAAGACGUUAUUUUGUCACUUUUAUUGAUGAUUUUUCCAGACGAGUUUGGGUGUUUCCUAUGAAGAACAAAGAUGAGGUGCUUGAAGUUUUCCUUAAGUGGAAAACUAAAAUUGAAAAUCAGACAGGAAGGAAGAUUAAGGUUCUCCGAUCAGACAACGGUGGAGAAUAUAAAAGCGAUCCAUUCCUGAAGAUAUGCCAAGAUUGUGGCAUAGUAAGGCACUUCACCGUAGGUGGAACACCGCAACAGAAUGGGGUGGCAGAGCGUAUGAAUCGAACGCUUGUGGAGAAAGUUCGAUGUAUGUUAUCUAAUGCUGGAUUAGAUAGAAAGUUUUGGGCUGAGGCUGUGACGUACGCUCAACAUCUCAUCAAUCAUUUGCCAUCAUCUGCUAUAAAUGGCAAGACUCCUUUGGAGAAAUGGUAUGGAAAACCUGCUACUGAUUAUGACAUCUUGCGCAUUUUUGGUUCUAUUGCAUAUUAUCAUGUGAAAGAAUCAAAGUUAGAUCCAAUAGCAAAGAAGGCUCUAUUCAUGGGCUUCAAUGCUGGUGUUAAGGGAUAUCGUUUGUGGUGUCUAGAGGCAAAGAAGACGAUAAUCAGUAGGGAUGUUACCUUUCAUGAAUCUGCCGUGUUGAAUAAGGUAAAUCCAGAAGGAGUGAGUAGUACUUCGCAGCAGGUGGAGUGUACUCCGCAGCAGGUGGAGUUUGAGCAGAGUGUGGUAAUUCCAGCAGAAGGUACCACUAGUGAUUCUUCAUUGGCAGAUGCAGAGUCAGAUGAGGAAGAGGUUUCUACCCAAGAACCUCAACAGCAAUCAGAGCCAAUUGCAGUCAGAAGGCAGAAACGAGAAAUUCAGAAACCAGCUCGUUUCACUGACAUGGUAGCUUAUGCACUUCCAGUUGUUGAUAAUAUUCCAUCCACUUACACCGAAGCCAUUCAGAGUUUAGAGAAUAAUAGAUGGUUAGGUGCAAUGGAAGAGGAAAUGCAAUCUCUAGAAAAAAACAAGACGUGGAAGUUGGCACAACUACCAAAAGGGAAGAAGGCGAUUGGUUGCAAAUGGGUAUUUGCAAAGAAAGAAGGAUUUCCCGACAAAGAAGAUGUUCGUUACAAGGCAAGGUUAGUGGCUAAAGGCUACGCUCAGAAGGAGGGAAUUGACUAUAAUGAGGUAUUUUCUCCAGUUGUUAAACAUUCCUCCAUUAGAAUUUUGUUGGCCUUGGUAGCGCAGUUGAAUUUGGAGCUAGCUCAACUUGAUGUGAAGACCGCGUUUCUACACGGUGAUUUGAAGGAGGAAAUCUAUAUGACUCAGCCAGAUGGAUACAGGGUUGCUGGUAAAGAAAAUUGGGUGUGUAAACUUAGCAAAUCGUUGUACGGAUUGAAAUAAUCUCCGAGACAAUGGUACAAACGAUUUGACAGGUUCAUGAAGGACCAGAAGUACAAAAGAAGCAAAUACGAUCAUUGUGUGUAUUUGCGCAAGCUUCAAGAUAGUUCCUACAUCUACUUACUCUUGUAUGUUGAUGAUAUGCUGAUUGCAGCAAAGAGCCAAAUGGAGAUUGAUAGACUGAAGGCUCAGUUGAGUAAAGAGUUUGAGAUGAAGGAUUUAGGGGAAGCUAAGAAGAUUCUCGGCAUGGAAAUAACUCGGGAUAGAAAGAGGGGCAAACUUUGGCUGUCACAAAAACAGUAUUUGGAGAAGGUACUACAACGUUUCGGUAUGUCUGAAGGUACAAAACCUGUAAGUACCCCAGUUGCUCCUCAUUUUAAACUAAGUAACCAGUUAUCUCCAACGACUAAGGAAGAACGAGAGUACAUGGCAAAAGUCCCAUAUGCAAAUGCAGUUGGAAGCUUGAUGUAUGCAAUGGUAUGUACAAGACCAGAUAUUUCACAGGCUGUUAGUGUUGUUAGCAGGUACAUGCAUGAUCCGGGCAGGGGUCAUUGGCAAGCUGUGAAAUGGAUUCUGCGGUAUCUCCAAAAUACCAUAGAUGUCGGAUUGGCAUUCGAGCAGGAUGAAUCAUUUGGUCAAUGCAUAGUUGGAUAUUGUGAUUCUAAUUAUGCAGGUGAUUUGGAUAAGCGACGGUCUACAACUGGCUAUUUGUUUACUUUAGCGAAAGCGCCAGUUAGUUGGAAAUCUACCUUACAGUCAACGGUGGCUUUGUCUACAACAGAGGCAGAGUAUAUGGCAAUUACAGAGGCUGUGAAGGAAGCAAUUUGGCUUCAUGGAUUGCUUAAAGACUUGGAAGUUGGUCAGAAACAACUUAAGGUAUAUUCUGACAGUCAGAGUGCUAUUCAUUUAGCAAAGAAUCAAGUUUUUCAUGCACGAACGAAGCACAUAGACGUUCGCUAUCACUUUGUGCGGGAAAUUCUCGAAGAAGAGGAGAUACUUCUCCAAAAGAUUCACACUACGGAGAAUCCUGCAGAUAUGCUGACUAAGGUGGUUACAAGGGCCAAGUUUGAACAUUGUUUAGACUUGAUCAAUGUCCGACACAUUUGAUAUGGCGUCGUUGGCGCAAAUUUGAAGACACUAUUGAAGUUUGUGUUAUGAGAAGAUGUUCGAAGAUGUGGAAUAUCGCCAAGGUGGAGAUUUGUUGAAUAUUGGCAAUAUCCCACAUUAGGAAAAGAUAGAAAGGGAGGGGGUUUGGUUUGUUAUAUAUAGAACCCCUCCCCCUUUGGUUUUAUAAUCCCAAAAAUCUUCUCCUUUGUAAUAUUUCUAGAAGAAAUAUUAAUUUGGUAGUGUCCGAGGACGUAAGCUAAAUUGGCCGAACCUCGUUAAAUCUCUGGUAUUU
rnacentral:lncRNA from 1 species